rnacentral:rRNA from 1 species
AACGAACGCUGGCGGCGUGGAUAAGACAUGCAAGUCGAACGGGACAGGUAGCAAUAUCUGUCCAGUGGCGAACGGGUGCGUAACACGUGGGCAACAUGCCUGGAAGAGCGGGAUAGCCCGGGGAAACUCGGAUUAAUACCGCAUGUGACAACGGGGCGGAUUCGCCCUGUUUUCAAAGGUGGGGACCGCAAGGCCUGCCGCUUCCAGAUUGGCCCGCGGCCUAUCAGCUAGUUGGCGAGGUAAAAGCUCACCAAGGCGACGACGGGUAGCUGGUCUGAGAGGACGACCAGCCACACUGGAACUGAGACACGGUCCAGACACCUACGGGUGGCAGCAGUCGAGAAUCUUUCACAAUGGGGGAAACCCUGAUGGAGCGACGCCGCGUGGAGGAUGAAGGUCUUCGGAUUGUAAACUCCUGUCAUGAAAGAACAAGCGAUGCGGGUGAACAGCCCGCAAAGUUGAUAGUAUUUCAAGAGGAAGGGACGGCUAACUUCGUGCCAGCCGCCGCAGUAACAC